GAAACUCAUAGCAACAUCAUUGGGCUUUCGUGGGCAUUAAACAUGCCACAGAUACGGGCCAUGGAAGCACACCAUUCACAGAUCCCAGACAGUGACCCCGAAUUCCGUGUGGCUUCCACACAGGGCCACGUGCAUGCUUGGGAGAUCCUUGGGCAGCUGGAUGUGGCAGAUCCAGGACCUUACCUGUAACGGACUCCACGGAGAUCUUUGGGCAGUGGGGAGGAAGGUCUGCGCUGUCACUGCAGGGGCCUGGCUGUCCAAGAAGCACGGGUGGAACCGCAGCCAUCACUUCUGGGGUCCCGCGGUAGAGGAUGGCACAGGGCGGCACGCUCCACCCUGUCCACGCGCGUUAACGAGCCGUGCGCCAAGUGGUGCGGGUUGGACUGCAACCAGCUGAAAUCCAGUCAUCGCCUCUGGCUAGCAGGAGAUGCUGGGCCAGGAAUUCAACUGCUCCGUACUUCAGCGCGGAGCGAAGGCUCCUAUGACACCCUGCGCUUUCCCCUCCCCCUCUUUGGAACUUGGUUCAGAAAGUUGAGAGUUCGCUGAGGUGGGAGCGCCCUGUCGUUCUGAGGUUUACCUGAGGUCCUCUUCGCUCUCUCCCCUCAGCCUCCCCGCCCGGCCACUUGGUUUAAUACGUGCGUGUGCAUGUGUGUGUGUGCGCGUGGAGGGGUGCGAGUGCGCGGCUGUCUUGGGUGCGCAGGUGUCUUCAGUUCACAGACAGGCAGCGUGCUGCGCGUGUCAUUCUGGUUCUUACAGCGUUUAACCGCGCGCAGCUUUAGUCGGCUUUAGCUUAUUUCUACGCGCACAUUAGGUCCCGGCAGGGGGCGCUGGCGCACCCAGCUCCCUGCGGCCUCAGCAGCACUGGGUGACUGCGGGUGGGGUGGGGGUGUCUCCACCUUAGCACUGGAAGAGCCACCGGAUGGAGCCUCCCUACUCUCCUCCCUUCCUCCCUCCCUUUCUUUCUUUUGUUUUUGUGCGGUACGGAUGACACCUCCCCCAGGCACAGGCGGCCCAGCCCGCCCCCCUUACUUCCUUCCGGUGGCUCACCAGGGGCCCGGCAGCUGCACCUGUGCACGCCCUGCCCCGGCAGCGGACACGUGGCCGUCUCCAGCGCCGCCUUCCCCCAAGCCACGGCCUCAGCUAUCUUCCAGAGCCGCCAGAUGAUGACUGUAAACCGCGUCUCCGCCGUCUGUGAUUUGAAUCUCUCUGCUCGCCUUAGCUGCUUGCAUUUCCACCUCAGCGAAUUCUCUUUUGCCCACUGCUCACAUGGAUUUCAAGAAGUUUUGGGUUUGGGCGUUGCUUUAUAGGAAUUUCUUAUCUAGAACAGCUAUCAAUUCCUCAUUAGUUUUAGAUGUUAUAAGUAUUUCCCCCCUAAUCUGUUAAGUCCCUGUUUGAAUUCUUUGUUAAACAGAAAUUCCUCAUUUUGA